rnacentral:rRNA from 1 species
UCGAGCGCGAAAGUUCUUCGGAAUGAGUAAAGCGGCGGACGGGUGAGUAACGCGUGGGAAUCUGCCUGGUAGUGGGGGACAACAGUCGGAAACGACUGCUAAUACCGCAUACGCCCUACGGGGGAAAGGGGGGGAUCUUCGGACCUCUCGCUAUCAGAUGAGCCCGCGUCGGAUUAGCUUGUUGGCGAGGUAAAGGCUCACCAAGGCGACGAUCCGUAACUGGUCUGAGAGGAUGAUCAGUCACACUGGAACUGAGACACGGUCCAGACUCCUACGGGAGGCAGCAGUGGGGAAUAUUGGACAAUGGGGGCAACCCUGAUCCAGCCAUGCCGCGUGUGUGAAGAAGGCCUUCGGGUUGUAAAGCACUUUCAGUGGGGAGAAAGGUGGUUUGGUUAAUAACCGAAUCAAUUGAUGUUACCCACAGAAGAAGCACCGGCUAACUCCGUGCCAGCAGCCGCGGUAAUACGGAGGGUGCAAGCGUUAAUCGGAAUUACUGGGCGUAAAGCGUACGUAGGUGGUUUGUUAAGCCAGCUGUGAAAUCCCCGGGCUCAACCUGGGCACUGCAGUUGGAACUGGCAAGCUAGAGUAGGGUAGAGGGGUGUGGAAUUCCAGGUGUAGCGGUGAAAUGCGUAGAUAUCUGGAGGAACAUCAGUGGCGAAGGCGACACCCUGGACUCAUACUGACACUGAGGUACGGAAGC